rnacentral:rRNA from 1 species
CUACGGGGGGCAGCAGUGAGGAAUACUGCACAAUGGGGGGAACCCUGAUGCAGCAACGCCGCGUGGAGGAUGACGCAUUUCGGUGUGUAAACUCCUUUUAUAUGUCAAGAAAAUGACGGUAGCAUAUGAAUAAGCACCGGCUAACUCCGUGCCAGCAGCCGCGGUAAUACGGAGGGUGCAAGCGUUACUCGGAAUCACUGGGCGUAAAGGACGCGUAGGCGGGUUGGAAAGUCAGGUGUGAAAUCCUACAGCUUAACUGUAGAACUGCACUUGAAACUUCUAAUCUAGAGUAUGGGAGGGGGAGAUGGAAUUAGUGGUGUAGGGGUAAAAUCCGUAGAUAUCACUAGGAAUACCUAAAGCGAAGGCGAUCUCCUGGAACAUUGCUGACGCUAAGGCGUGAAAGCGUGGGGAGCGAACAGGAUUAGAUACCCGUGUAGUC